rnacentral:rRNA from 1 species
UGGGGAAUAUUGCACAAUGGGGGGAAACCCUGAUGCAGCGACGCCGCGUGAGUGAAGAAGUAUUUCGGUAUGUAAAGCUCUAUCAGCAGGGAAGAAAACAAUGACGGUACCUGACUAAGAAGCCCCGGCUAACUACGUGCCAGCAGCCGCGGUAAUACGUAGGGGGCAAGCGUUAUCCGGAUUUACUGGGUGUAAAGGGUGCGUAGACGGAAAGGCAAGUUAGUUGUGAAAUCCCUCGGCUUAACUGAGGAACUGCAACUAAAACUAUCAUUCUUGAGUACUGGAGGGGAAAGCGGAAUUCCUAGUGUAGCGGUGAAAUGCGUAGAUAUUAGGAAGAACACCGGUGGCGAAGGCGGCUUUCUGGACAGUAACUGACGUUGAGGCACGAAAGUGUGGGGAGCAAACAGGA